rnacentral:rRNA from 1 species
UACGGGGGGAGCAAGCGUUGUUCGGAUUUACUGGGCGUAAAGGGCGCGUAGGCGGGCGCAACAAGUCACUUGUGAAAUCUCCGGGCUUAACUCGGAACGGUCAAGUGAUACUGUUGUGCUAGAGUGCGGAAGGGGCAACUGGAAUUCCCGGUGUAGCGGUGAAAUGCGCAGAUAUCAGGAGGAACACCGGUGGCGAAGGCGGGUCUCUGGGCCGAUAUUGACGCUGGAGGAGCGAAAGCGUGGGGAGCGAACAGG